GAGAAGAGAAAAAGGGAGGAAAAAAGGGCAUGGAAGGUUCUCUUGGGGUGGAGAGGGGCUGGCUUAGAUGAUCUUGGGACCUUAGGGGAAGUCCUCUUUUAUAGGCACAAAGAUUGAAUCCUAUUCAAUCAUAUAAUACAAGUCCUACUUGCAUUAGGAUUCCUAUUAACUUAAGUUAUCCAACUUACAUUAGGAAGCCCAUUAGGCGCCAACUAUUGGAGC
rnacentral:lncRNA from 1 species